UCGGGAAUUUUGCUCAAUGGGGGAAACCCUGAAGCAGCAACGCCGCGUGCGGGAUGAAGGCCUUCGGGUUGUAAACCGCUUUUACCAGGGACGAUGAUGACGGUACCUGAUGAAUAAGUCACGGCUAACUACGUGCCAGCAGCCGCGGUAAUACGUAGGUGACCAGCGUUGUCCGGAUUUACUGGGCGUAAAGAGCGCGCAGGCGGUCGUUCAAGUCGAGUGUGAAAGCCCCCGGCUCAACUGGGGAGGGUCAUUCGAUACUGAUCGACUGGAAGGCAGGAGAGGGAAGCGGAAUUCCCGGUGUAGUGGUGAAAUGCGUAGAUAUCGGGAGGAACACCAGUGGCGAAGGCGGCUUCCUGGCCUGUUCUUGACGCUGAGGCGCGAAAGCUAGGGGAGCAAACG
rnacentral:rRNA from 1 species